rnacentral:tRNA from 1 species
CGCGGGAUAGAGCAGUUUGGCAGCUCGUUAGGCUCAUAACCUAGAGGUCGUUGGUUCAAAUCCAACUCCCGUUA